rnacentral:lncRNA from 1 species
AACCAAUGACAGAAGAUAAAAUUCCCUUUAAAGAAAGUGGGAGAGAACCGUUGCUUUUGCCAACAAGAACAAAAAAACCAUCUCGAGUGACAGUUGAACCAUGUGAAAGUGAAAAACUCCAGCAAGAGCUUUAUGCCCUCAAAGCCGAGCAGGACGAUCUGAGGCUGCAGAUGGAAGCCCAGCGCCUGUGCCUUUUUGUGGUUUAUUCAACUCAUGCGGAUCAGGUUCGUGCAUAUAUGGAGAAGGAGAGAGAGGAAGCUCUGCCGUCAGAGUGUCUAUUGCCAUCUCAAGAAUGAAAUUUUUGGUGCGGCGGUGGCAGCAAGUGACAAGUACUAGCUCCAUCAAUAUUAACAGGGAUGGCUUUGGCCUGAGUCCAGGCAUUGAAAAGACUGACCCAUUCUAUCAUUCGUCUGGUGGGCUGGAGCUGUAUGGAGAACCAAGACACACAACAUACCGCUCAAGAUUUGAUCUGGACUACCCUAGGUCUCCCUUGCCAUUGCAGAAUAGGUACCCGGGUGCUCCAGACUUAAAUUCUACUUCAAUGGCUUCUUCUCAACUUCACCAGUACAAUCCUGAUAAAUCUCUGACAGACUAUGUCACUCGGCUAGAGGCACUGAAAAGGCGACUUGGAGCUAUACAGUCAGGGUCGACUACUCAAUUUCAUUUUGGCAUGAGGAGAUAAUCCUUUGAAAUACUUAUUGAAUAUUAAAUGGAUUCCCUUUUGUAAAUC